GCACUGGCAAAAUCCAGUGUCGGGCGUAGGAACCCCGCAUUGUAACUCAAGGCACACAAGUGCCAGCGUUUUGCUGGUUUUUU
rnacentral:sRNA from 1 species